rnacentral:rRNA from 1 species
AGCGAACGCUGGCGGCAGGCCUAACGCAUGCAAGUCGAACGAACCUUUCGGGGUUAGUGGCGGACGGGUGAGUAACACGUGGGAACGUGCCUUUAGGUUCGGAAUAACUCAGGGAAACUUGUGCUAAUACCGAAUGUGCCCUUCGGGGGAAAGAUUUAUCGCCUUUAGAGCGGCCCGCGUCUGAUUAGCUAGUUGGUUGAGGUAAUGGCUCACCAAGGCGACGAUCAGUAGCUGGUCUGAGAGGAUGAUCAGCCACAUUGGGACUGAGACACGGCCCAAACUCCUACGGGAGGCAGCAGUGGGGAAUCUUGCGCAAUGGGCGAAAGCCUGACGCAGCCAUGCCGCGUGAAUGAUGAAGGUCUUAGGAUUGUAAAAUUCUUUCACCGGGGACGAUAAUGACGGUACCCGGAGAAGAAGCCCCGGCUAACUUCGUG